AGGCAGCUUUUUCAAAUCGAGAGCGUUUGUUAACGAAUUUUCAAGAUUGGUGCUCUUGAAAACGUGAGUAGGGGACCAAGUCGGCCAUAGGGCACUGCAUGAAAUUCAUUCCUUCUCUUUCACUCUUACAGAAAUUUUGUAAACAACAAGGCCAAGAAACAUCAAAACCCCAUACAAAAUCAAAACAAUGCAGUGCCCUAUUCUGGCCGCCCUUUUUGAAGUUUCUCCUUAAAGAAAGCUGCUCGUUACCCGACUAGAAAAUUAUAUCAAGUUUGUAUCAUAUUGUAUUAUGAUGUUAUAAUAAUUUUCUCUAACUUAUUAUGUUAUAAAGUAGCUGCAGGAUGAUGUUAAAAUAACGAAAAUUGUUACAAAAAGUACACUGGCCUUAUCAAGAUUAUAACCUAUUUUGUUAUAAUCAUAUCAAAAUUAUAACAAAAUGUGAUAUGAAUUUUAGCCUCAAGAUUGUUGGUUUCUAUCAUAAUUUGAUAUAAUUUUGUUACAAUAUUUCCCAAAUGUCGAAGAUUAAAAACUAAAUUAUAAUACAAUGAGUUAUGUAAUAACAUUUAUAACAUAAUGUGAUAUAAUUGAGUUAUAGUAUUUUGAAAAUACCAAGGAUGUUGAUCAUGAUUAUAUCACAAUGAGUAAAAAAUAUCAUGAUUUGUUAGGAUUAUGUUAUAUUUUUGUUACAAUUUUCUAGUCGGGUAUCCAUCACCUCAUCGAACGCAAAUGAAGCGAUAUUGCAACAAGCUGGAUGAAAUGAACCCACGACAAGUUACACGCAAGUCGGUAAUUUCGUUAGCGCAUGAAUGACAAAUCGACGUCAUCGUGGUCAAAAAAUGUGCAAAACACGGUGGUGAAACAGCAGUAAUGAUCCUGCUGGUCUGCAACGGUGCACGUAGAAAAAUAAAUUGUGAACACAAUUAAAUUCUAGUUCAAAUCAAGCAAUUUUCAGUUUGCUAUAACGACAAACUGAUUUCUAGUUAAAACUGAACUGUUCCAUUGUUUGAUAAUACAAAUAUUUUCAUUUGCCGAAAUUUUUGACAGUUUGUUAGAACAAACACAGAUUUGAUAGUUUCAACAUAAAAUACCAAAUUGUUUUAAACAACUCUGCACUUUUGUCUCUAACAAUGCCGGAUUGUGAUUGUGUUGGUGAUGGCUGCUCCCGCGGCAGCUCGGAAAUCUUUUUUAAGACACUCGUCGAGCGGAUGGAAGCGAGAACGAAUAAAAAAAAAAAAAGAAGGCGAAACCGACCAACUUUUUGUGGCUGUUGUCUUGAGUGCCAGCGUGUUAUCCAUCACGGCCAAAACUGCACUUGGAAGUUGGAGUGAUGGAUUUGCUACACUUUCUUUGUUGUGGCGAUGUUGGGGUAAGAAUUUUAAAGAUGUGUGAGUGCUUCCGGUCAUGUUUGUGGUCCUCAUUUUGUUGAUACAAAUGAUGAGAAUUGGUUGUUUUGAUCGAUAAACUCUACGUAAGACCAAAGAAAUAUAACUUUGAAAUAAGUAAAUGGUCAGUUUGAAAAUCAACUAUGUGUUUUAUUGUUUUAAAUAAGCCUCAUUUUUCUGUGUGCACUUGGAAGUUGGAGUGAUAGAUUUGCUACACUUUCUUCGUUGUGGCGAUGUUGGGGUAAGAAUUUUAAAGUUGUGUGAGUGCUUCCGGUCAUGUUUGUGGUUCUCAUUUUGUUGAAACAAAUGAUGGGAAUUGGUUGUUUUGAUCGAUAAACUCUACGUAAGACCAAAGAAAUAUAACUUUGAAAUAAGUAAAUGGUCAGUUUGAAAAUCAACCAUGCCACGGUGUCAAAAUUUCGAUUAUUAUCGAACAUUCAUGUACCUCGGAUUUUUCUUCGAAAAUGAUUAGUUUUUGGGCUAUAUAGUCAUAAUCGGACAACUAGAAAAUACUUCAUCGGUGAACAUUUUUCCAUACAUUUUGUAUGGGACGUUUUUUGGACUAAAAUAGUAGUUAUUGAUUUUUAGUAUGAAAAAUAGCCAAAAACUCACCUAACUCAAAUUUUCCCCGAUAGAAUAUUUUCAAAUUUUGCAUUUAUACAUUAUAGCCGAAAUUCUAACAUUCUAUGAAGAAAAAUCCGAGGUACAUGAAAGUUCGAUAAUAAUCAAAAUUUUGACACCGUGCAUGUGUUUUAUUGUUUUAAACAAGCCUCAUUUUUCUGCGUGUAGCAGUGGACGGGAUCGUAUGCAAGAAAUUUGCAAACAGCAGCGGUACGGUCGUGUUGCGAGGAGGUGUGCAGACGGGAUAGAGUUAUAUUAUUAAGAGAGAGGUGUGCAGACGGGAUAGAGUUAUAUUAUUAAGAGAUAGUUAUAUUUAUUAAGUAGGAUGCCGUUGUCGAUCACUAAGACACACGAAUUAACACACUAAAAUUAACAGUCAGACGAUUCGAUUGAUUUUGCGAUGGGUAUGACUAUGCAAAAAGCGUAAUUGAAAUAGGGGCUGCUUUCGAUAUUCUUGCUGGAGAUAUGUUCUGUUAUAUACACUAAAGGAGCGUCCAUAAAUUUCAUAGCAUUUUUGACCGGCUUUUACCCCCCUCCCCAUCGUAGCAUAUUGUCCCGUACCAUAUACAGGUUGGAUAGUAAUAAUUUUAACAUACACUCCCGUUCAAAAGUUUGGGGUCACCCCCUCAAAAACAUGUCAUUUUUUCAGGCCCAUAUCUCCGCCAAUUUGUGUCCGAUUUCAAAACCCUAGGUUUCAUUCAAAAGAUAAUAAGUCAAAGAAACUUUGAACAUGAUUUAAAAGAAACUUUUUCAAAAAAAAUUGUAUGUAAACUUAACCCAAAGUUGCUAAAUCUUCUAAAAAAUGAAUAUAAACUUACGGCAGUGUCGCUGGAAAUUGGGUCGACUAAAUUUUAAGAUGAGAGCGGUAAUAUGACCCAUUUUCUAUUAGCUUUCAACUGCUUUUUACAGAACUUAGCUAAAAAAUCUAGAAAAAAAGUUAUUAAGUAAAUUAAUCCUUGAUGUCAUCGACCAAAAGUUUGGGGUCACCCCUCAAAAUGCUGUAUCGGCCAAAAGUUUGGGGUCACUAUCGUAAAACAUGGAAAAGUGAUUUGUUGAUAUCUUUGUCAUCUUUCAUUCAAUUUUAAUUCUUCUUGGCUUAUUUGAAACAAAAUGAAUGAUACUUACUGCAUAGACAUUGAACCACACAUAUUUGUUGAAAUUUACAUACUAAAACUUAACGUAGAGUUGCCUCAUUUUUUGAAGCGUGGUAAAAUGUGCUAACUUUACAUAACACUUUUAUAUACAAAAAUUGUUGAAUACGUUAAGUUAAAGACAUCAAACGUAAAUUUAGUGAAUUAUCUUUGAAAUGAGCCAAAAAUAAUCAAAAUUGAACAAUAGAUGACGAAGAUAUCACCAAAUCACUUUUCCAUGUUUUACGAAAGUGACCCCAAACUUUUGGCCGAUACAUCAUAUUGAGGGGUGACCCCAAACUUUUGGUCGAUGACAUCAAGGAUUAAUUUACUUAAUAACUUUUUUUCUAGAUUUUUUAGCUAAGUUCUGUAAAAAGCAGUUGAAAGCUUAUAGAAAAUGGGUCAUAUUACCGCUCUCAUCUUAAAAUUUGGUCGACCCAACUUCCAGCGACACUGCCGUAAGUUUAUAUUCAUUUUUUAGAAAAUUUGGCAACUUUGGGUUAAUUUUACAUACAAAAUUUUUUGAAAAAGUUUCUUUUAAAUCAUGUUCAAAGUUUCUUUGACCUAUUAUCUUUUGAAUGAAACCUAGGGUUUUGAAAUCGGACGCAAAUUGGCGGAGAUAUGGGCCUAAAAAAAUGACAUGUUUUUGAGGGGGUGACCCCAAACUUUUGAACGGGAGUGUACGUGGUUCGUCACAUAAUCCCUUACUCCCCUUCCCCCUAAAAAGCUACGCCAUUUAUGGACGCUCCCUUAGAUAUUUACAAUAUUUCAAAGUAUUACCAAUUCACUUUUAAGUCAAAUUCCAUGUGCGUAUAGUUUUGAUUUGAAACUGUAACCACUAUAUGAUUGAUUUUUUUUAUUGUGCCGAUCACCGUACAUGUGUAAGGCAUACCUUAUUUAAUCAUGUUAUCAACGCGUCGGAAUUAGUACAGCGCCAAAAUCUAACAAAAUAAUUCUAUUUAAAUAAUCUGUUGCGUGAUUCCUUUUUCAGUUCAUUUCGUUUCCUCGUGGUGAUAGAAUGUGACUUAUCAAGAGAACCACUGCGUGUUCAACGUGUUUGCGUUUGGUGUUUAAUUUCAUACCUCAAACAAUAUGUGUGCAUAAAAAAUUAAUAUCAAACAUCCUCGAAGCUGUUGGUCUAGUGGAGCUGCCUUUUAAGUCACCUUCGUAUUACUUUUUUUUUGCAAGUGUUAGCUGUGAAUUCUAAUCAUUUUUUUACAAUGCAGAUUAUGGAAAGGCUUACCUCUAAACGAUUACAUGUGUUUUGUAUAGGAUCGCUUUUUGCCAUCGUAAUGAUGUAUUUUCAAAACUCGCCACCGAUUACACAAAACCUUGAAUCAUCUCGGUUACUUGUACCACCAAAUCCUCGACGGACGGACACAAAAGUGAUUCCAUCAUACACGCCAUUACAUGUUUUCAAACAUGCUGCAGUGUGUUCUGAUUCGGAGAUAUGCAGUGGUGUGGGCAGGGACAUCCUCGAAAGGAAUGGUUCUGUAGUUGACGCAACUCUUGCCACAAUGUUUUGUGCAGGUCUAUCAAACAUGCAAUCCAUGGGGAUAGGCGGAGGAUUUAUUAUGAAUAUUUACAUAAAGAACGAUAAUGCAGGUAAGGCAAAGACGGACUCAAUAAGGGUGACUCUUCGAAUCCAGUUUGACUUUCCGUUCCGCAGAAUCGUAGAUUGUUAUGUGGCUUAGGUAGUUGGUUAACCUUCCGUAACUCGCACGGUUGGCUACCACCGCCAGCACCACGUUAAUGCUGAGUACAAAAGGCAAGAUUUUUGAGCGUGUUGUUCAAAACACAACAGCGCGAUCGCUCGAGGGUUAAAAUACCCUUUUUCCACAAAUUUAUAUCUCAACUUGUCAAUUAAACGCACUUUGCCUUCUCACAUAAAACGUAAAAAAGUUUGUUUACUCACAUACAAGUAUACAUAAUGGGUCAAUUAUUAACAGUUUACAGUGACCGGCACAAAAAAGAUCCACCAUAUAGUGGUUACAGUUUCUAAUGAAAACUACAUGCAAAAACGAUGAAAUACACCUUUCAAUGAAUGCAGUACAUCCAUUUUAAAUGGUUUUAGUAAAUCUGUGUUGAUAAAUAUUUGUUUUAUGAUGAAUAUAGUGAUUUCUGAUAAGAUUGGGAGAAUUGUUUAAAAAUUGAGUAUGACAGAAAAAAAUAUCCACUUAGCAAUUAAUUCUGAAACUUCAAAAUUUCGCCAAAUUUUCACAUCCCAAGUAACCAUUAAGCCGUAAAAAUGGCAUUAAGUCGGCUCUAUAGUCGAAUGUAGAACCUGGCUAACAGAGCUAAUUGGUUCUAUAUCCUCUUAUAGAGCUGCUCAAAAGCCACUUUUGGAGAAUUAUUCGGCUGAUAUAAGGCCAACUUUAAAAUAUCGUACCAAGUCUCUGGAGCGAAAGUUGUCAAAAGUGAGACAAAGAAAAAAGAAAAAAAAUUGUUUAUCUUCUGUUCUUUUCUAACUUCCUUCGCUUCUAUUGAAGUUGCUUUUUUGCUACUUCAUCCAGAUUCUAGCUGUUGUCCUCCGAGUUCCUGAUCAAGUCCAAAUCCGUUGCCUUUCUCAUCUGCUCCACCAAUGCACCAUGGGAAUGGUGUGAUCAAACUAGUAUUUAAACCAUGAAAAACAAAAUAGUUUGGCCAUUUCGAGGGUUGAAAAUGAUAUGGGAUGACUGAUGAGGAUGAUUCAGUGGUAAGGUUGGUGGUGACGAACGCAGGAAUUGAUGCAGGAGAAGCAAUGUUUAUAUAAAUGGUCGGGAAACGUUUCACAAGAAGAGGGAAACGAGCUGGAGUUUGUCUUUAUUGAAAAAAUAAUGGAAUAAUCAAGAUAACCAAAUUCUAUUAUUU